UUUUGGAAGAGGCCCCCAACCUGAAUAAAGUAAGGCUGGUAUGCUUCUGGCCAUCCAUGCUUCCAAAUCGUUUUCUAUAUUGGGACUUUCGAAUCGACGAUCAUUGAUUCGAAAGUCUAAAGGAGCCUAUUAAUUUGUCUAAUAUUUAUCUGAAAAGUGCUCUGAAAUAUUAUAAAUUGAUAAAAUUUUAUCAAAGUAUUAUUUUUAAUAUUUUUUCAAUAAAAUUUAAAAUAUCUAGUAGGAAAUACAUAAUUUAAAAAUAACUAAUUUA
rnacentral:lncRNA from 1 species